ensembl:snRNA U6 U6 spliceosomal RNA
AUGCUUGCUUUGGCAGAACAUAUACUAAAAUUGGAAUAAUACAGAGAAGAUUAGCAUGGCCUCUAUGCAAGGAUAAUGCGCAAGUUCAUAAAGAAUUCCAUGUUUUA